rnacentral:tRNA from 1 species
CGCCUGCGUCAGAUCGGCAGCACCGAUCCGGAUGCUGCCGCCGUCCGGCGCCAGGAUGCCGGCGACCAAGCGCAGGAACGUCGUCUUGCCGCAGCCGG